GACGAACGCUGGCGGCGUGCUUAACACAUGCAAGUCGAACGGAAAGGCCCUGCUUGCAGGGUGCUCGAGUGGCGAACGGGUGAGUAACACGUGGGUGAUCUGCCCCUUACUUUGGGAUAAGCCUGGGAAACUGGGUCUAAUACUGGAUAGGACCAUGCUGUAGGUGGUGUGGUGGAAAGAUUAGUUUCGGUAAGGGAUGAGCUCGCGGCCUAUCAGCUUGUUGGUGGGGUAAUGGCCUACCAAGGCGUCGACGGGUAGCCGGCCUGAGAGGGUGGACGGCCACAUUGGGACUGAGAUACGGCCCAGACUCCUACGGGAGGCAGCAGUGGGGAAUAUUUCACAAUGGGCGCAAGCCUGAUGCAGCGACGCCGCGUGGGGGAUGACGGCCUUCGGGUUGUAAACUCCUUUCAGCCAUGACGAAGCCCUUGUGGUGACGGUAGUGGUAGAAGAAGCACCGGCUAACUACGUG
rnacentral:rRNA from 1 species